AGGUGACCCCGAGAAAGAGUCUCAGACUCCCAAAGGGAUCUUGACCCACAGGCUGAGAACUGCUGGUCUAGAAGCUUGCUCCUCCACACAGACAACAGACGGUGACCAAAAUAUCUGACAAAACCCCGGAAGGGAAGAAAGACUUGUUUGGCUUCUGGUGUCGAGGGAUACCAGGCUAUCUUGAAACAGCUGCUCUCUAAGAUGCCAAGUGCCCACACCUGAUAGCCACUGGGAAGCCCACUUCACAUUGGGGAGACCAUUCCUCCCAGCAACAGCUUGGAUCUCAAGGCUCGCAAAAGCUCAUGUGUGGUCUUCAGAAUGCAGCUAUUGGUAGGCAGUGGGACCUUCAGGAAGGAGAGCCUCCUGAGAGGCCCUUGAAGAGGAUCUUGAGACCCUGA